GACGAACGCUGGCGGCGUGCUUAACACAUGCAAGUCGAACGGAAAGGCCCUGCUUUUGUGGGGUGCUCGAGUGGCGAACGGGUGAGUAACACGUGAGUAACCUGCCCUUGACUUUGGGAUAACUUCAGGAAACUGGGGCUAAUACCGGAUAGGAGCUCCUGCUGCAUGGUGGGGGUUGGAAAGUUUCGGCGGUUGGGGAUGGACUCGCGGCUUAUCAGCUUGUUGGUGGGGUAGUGGCUUACCAAGGCUUUGACGGGUAGCCGGCCUGAGAGGGUGACCGGCCACAUUGGGACUGCGGUAGGGCCCAGACUCGUACGGGAGGCAACAGUGGGGAAUAUUGCCCAAUGGGCGGGAGCCUGAUGCAGCAGCGCCGCGUGCGGGAUGACGGCCUUCGGGUUGUGAACCGCUUUCGCCUGUGACGAAGCGUGAGUGACGGUAAUGGGUGAAGAAGCACCGGCUAACUACGUG
rnacentral:rRNA from 1 species